AGAGUUUGAUCCUGGCUCAGAUUGAACGCUGGCGGCAGGCCUAACACAUGCAAGUCGAGCGGAUGAGUGGAGCUUGCUCCAUGAUUCAGCGGCGGACGGGUGAGUAAUGCCUAGGAAUCUGCCUGGUAGUGGGGGACAACGUUUCGAAAGGAACGCUAAUACCGCAUACGUCCUACGGGAGAAAGCAGGGGACCUUCGGGCCUUGCGCUAUCAGAUGAGCCUAGGUCGGAUUAGCUAGUUGGUGAGGUAACGGCUCACCAAGGCGACGAUCCGUAACUGGUCUGAGAGGAUGAUCAGUCACACUGGAACUGAGACACGGUCCAGACUCCUACGGGAGGCAGCAGUGGGGAAUAUUGGACAAUGGGCGAAAGCCUGAUCCAGCCAUGCCGCGUGUGUGAAGAAGGUCUUCGGAUUGUAAAGCACUUUAAGUUGGGAGGAAGGGCAGUAAGUUAAUACCUUGCUGUUUUGACGUUACCGACAGAAUAAGCACCGGCUAACUUCGUGCCAGCAGCCGCGGUAAUACGAAGGGUGCAAGCGUUAAUCGGAAUUACUGGGCGUAAAGCGCGCGUAGGUGGUUCAGCAAGUUGGAUGUGAAAGCCCCGGGCUCAACCUGGGAACUGCAUUUGUGACUGCAAGGCUAGAGUACGGCAGAGGGGGAUGGAAUUCCGCGUGUAGCAGUGAAAUGCGUAGAUAUGCGGAGGAACACCAAUGGCGAAGGCAAUCCCCUGGGCCUGUACUGACGCUCAUGCACGAAAGCGUGGGGAGCAAACAGGAUUAGAUACCCUGGUAGUCC
rnacentral:rRNA from 1 species